AGUUUAACAAGGUAAGUCAGUUUAUCCUUUAAAAAAUUCAAUCGAAUUCGAGAACCGAAGAACAUUUUGCAUUUGUACUGUUUUUUAUGCAAUACACACUUUUACAGAAGUGUCUAUAUUUCCAGCCCAUAUCUAUUUUUCCUCCCCUUAUAUAUUUUUUACACUCCGGUGCAUCAUCUCUUCUUAAAAAACGAAAAGAAUUCAAUGUAUGCUAUGCUGAAGUGCAAGAAAAUGUGCUAGUGUCUUCUUAUUUGCUAAAAAAAGGUGAUGCAUCCAAGUGCAAAAGAUGAUUGUAGGAGACACUCAAUGGCACAGACAAAAUUUUGGAUAUCUCAACUCACUCUCUAUUUAUAAUAUUUUUUAAAUAAUAAUUACCUUAUCUAUGCCUUCUCAUUCUAUAAAUGAUUAGAUAAAAAAUAAAGCCAGAAUAUUAUCAGUCGGAAAUAACUGAAUUUUAUUAAUGAAAAGCAGACAUAGGAUUGUUAAAAUGUUCUUUUCCAGAUUCUCUCAAACCAAACUUGUAAAAUAAAACUACUACCCUCUACCAAUAUAAAAUACAAGUACUAAAACUUUGACUAAUUCCACUAACAAAGCACAUAUUCUGCACAUAAAAUACAACUUUGAUUUAUGCUUGAAUAUAAACAUCAAUCAAAUAUUUCAGUUUAACAAACAUACAUAGAGGGAGAGAAUGAUAGGUCUUCGUCGUCCAAUUUUGUAACGAACCCAUUUGCCGGACCAUUUACACUUGCACCAGCAAAUAAUAGGUAUUUUCUUGUAACCUUUUCCUAUGGUUUUCCACUGGCUUGGUUUUAAAUCAGGGAAUACUGUAGAGUAUUUACUAGAUAAAAUCUUGCUUUAGUUUUUAUUUUUGUUUAAUGUAAAUUUGUAAUUGGAAAUAACUGAUUACUCAUCGAAAAUGUUGCUGCAAAAGUUUAUUUAACCAACAUUCAUAUGUAUUAACUGUUUAAACCUAAAAUUACGUUCUAUUUGGACUCUUUUAAAUUUUGUUAGUUUGUGUAUGUGUUAUGUAUAUAUAUAUAUUCUCUAUCAAGAUAUAUGUAACUGCGCGCAGUAGGAGUUCAAAUUAGAAAAAAAUUUCUUCACAGACCUGUUUGGCUUUAUAAUUCUUGAACGGCCCAUUUGUGGUAGAGGUGGUGGUUGCAUGGCGGGUGGGUGAGAGGAUGACGAAGCAGAUCGGAUAGCGCCUUGCCGAAUGUUCCUCUCCCCAUCGCCGCUGCUUCGUUGAGGGCCUCUCUCUUCCGCCCGUUGGUGGUUGGAGAAAGAACCCUCCUCGGCACCACUACUGCUGGUGUUUAUCGCGGAUAUAGGAAAUGAGAAAUCUGUAAUAAGAUUAGAUGGCAUUUGUGAGAAAUAUGAAGAGCGCUGCUUGUAUUUAUAGUUUUGCUGUACUUUCAAAGAAGUGACUUCAAGUGGAUAACAGUAAAUACUAAUUUUUGUUUGAAU
rnacentral:lncRNA from 1 species